UACGUAGGGUGCAAGCGUUAAUCGGAAUUACUGGGCGUAAAGCGUGCGCAGGCGGUUGUGCAAGACAGAUGUGAAAUCCCCGGGCUCAACCUGGGAAUUGCAUUUGUGACUGCACGGCUAGAGUGUGUCAGAGGGGGGUAGAAUUCCACGUGUAGCAGUGAAAUGCGUAGAGAUGUGGAGGAAUACCGAUGGCGAAGGCAGCCUCCUGGGCCAACACUGACGCUCAUGCACGAAAGCGUGGGGAGCAAACAGG
rnacentral:rRNA from 1 species